GGCUGUAGCACCCGUAGAGAUUGGCGAACCCUCUUGGAGAGUCAUCAAUUAUUCACCAGAGGAGAAUGAAGAAGCAAUGAGGGCUAACCUCGAUCUCGUCGACGAGCUAAGAGAGAUUGCAUCCAUCAGACAGCAAAUGUACAAGAGUCGCAUGGCGAAAGUUUAUAACUCCAAAGUCCGCCCUCGCUCUUUCCAAGUAGGAGAUUUAGUUCUCCGCAAAGCCGAAGCCUCACGCCCAAUCGGUAAACUCGACCCGAAGUGGGAAGGACCAUAUAAAAUCACACAAGUGAUUAACAAUGGAGCAUAUCGUCUCGAGAACCUCGACGGACACCCUAUACCCAGAACCUGGAAUAUAGGGAAUCUCAAAAGGUUCUACGCUUGAGGUAUACAUCCAUCUUAAAUCAAAUUUGUUUAAGUUUACAUCUACAUCUUCCUCAUACGAAAGUCGCCUUGCAGGCUUCACAACCUUCCACGUCUCUCUUCAUGCAAAAAUGUCUCUAAAAGCUCGAGAAGGGACUCCAUAACGAGGUGUGUAAACAUCCCUCCCAAACUGGGGGGCUAGUGAUAUUAUCUACAUCAACCUUCCAUAACACGUCUCAUCAUCUUCUUACAGAUUAAGAGCCAAUUACGAGAGGAUGCUUACCGACCACCAUUCACCCAAAGAGAGAAGAUACUCUGUACUAUCUCACUAAGGGUAACACCACUUUUACUAAGUCAUAUCACAAGCACAUUAGUGGGUCUCUAUACUAAACAAUAACGCCAUCUCCUUUGACAGGCAGGGUCGCGCAGCAAUCCACCGCAACUCAUGAGUUGUUCUCAUAUCUCGGAAUGCGAGGAACAGAAAAAGUCCCAAUAUUGAGCAAAGAGACACCAAAAGACAGUAGACAUACUACCCUACACCAAGCACGGAUGAGCACAAGGAAGACGUGGAAGAAGAAUAAAAUCUCUUAUAGUCACAUAGAUUACUUUUCAAUAGUUCGAUUUAUUUGUUUUUUACGAGUUAUUUCCCUUCGCCUCACGGAAGCUUAUGACAAUUCGCAUUUCUUAUUAAUGAUUAAAUCAAGUUUUUACUUUA